UUUAAUUUUUGUUUUCUAUAUGUCUCGUGUUUUUGUGGCUUUGCUUCUUCUUCUUUGCUUUCUUUUGCAUUAAGUAUUUUCUAGUUUAACAACUUAAUUUCUUAAAUUAUUUUUAACUAUAUUUUUACGUAUUUCCUUAAUGAAUGCUUGAUGGCUCACAAUCUCCUUCUCAGUUUAUCAGAAUCUACUUAAGUUUAUACUAACUUAUGUCCAGUGAGAUAGAAACACAUUUCUUCUUUAUAGCUCUAGGUCCUCUUCACUUGUUUUUGUGCUAUUAUUGUUAUACUUACUACCUCUGUAUAUGUUACAAGCCCAAGAAUACUAUUCUACUUAUUUAUAUAAUUUUAUGUUUUUUAAAGAACCUGAGACUGGAAGUGAGGGAAAUAGGGCGUGCAGGAAGGAAGGAAGAGGAAGGAAAAGUGUGUGAAAGGGGGCUCCACCUCCUUUAGUGGAUACCCUGAGCUUAUUUCCAGGGGCCUUUGUAAAUUCCCAGUGACAACUCUUUGGAAGAUGAAAUCCCCCUCUUCCCUGCAUCUUAUUAGAACAGUGUAUCCUGGAGGACAUCCCUUGCCUUUCACCAAGUGACCCUAUACUGGCGGCAGAACUUCUCGAUUUUGCGGAUUUCAAAAUGGCUCCACGUACUCAUAGUUUUCAUGACAGACUUCAUUGCGAUAGUCAAAUACUGUUCCACUUACUGCAGUUGCCUACAGUCUGGGUUUUGUUCAGUUGAAAUUAAAUAAAUUUUAUGCACAAACCUUUCAUGGCUGUCUGCGAUCUUUUAAAAAAUGUGAACAUGUACAGGAUGAUAAGUUCUAAGGAUGUAUGUUCUGCAAAGCCUCAGAGCAGGAAGUAGAAGUACACUUGUACAUUAGAAGAUGAAUAUGCUUUUGGAGUUUGGAC
rnacentral:lncRNA from 1 species